GUGCUUGCUUUGGCAGCACAUAUACUAAAAUUGGAAGGAUACAGAGAAGAUGAGCAUGGCUUCUGCGCAUUAUGACAUGCAAAUUCAUGAAGCCUUCUAUAUUUUU
ensembl:snRNA U6 U6 spliceosomal RNA